rnacentral:rRNA from 1 species
AGUCACUGACAUUAGAUACCCGGGUAGUCCAGGGUGUAAACGCUGCCGACUUGGUGUUGGAGGCCCGUUCGGGGGCAUUCAGUGCCGGAGAGAAGUUGUUAAGUCGGCCACUUGGGAGUACGUCCGCAAGGAUGAAACUUAAAGGAAUUGGCGGGGGAGCACCGCAACGGGAGGAGCGUGCGGUUUAAUUGGAUUCAACACCGUAAAACUCACCAGGGAAGACUGUUACAUGAAGGCCGAGAUGAAGACUCUGCUAGAUUUUCAG